rnacentral:misc_RNA from 1 species
CUUUCCCUAUCUUACCCGAUGUUAAUUUCUGAUUACCACUAUCGUCGCUGUAUAUUGUGAAACGAUAAGAAAUUUCAAAUUGAUGGUGAACUAAUCUAAGCAUUGACACAGUGAAUAAGGAUUUUUAUUUCCAAGCGAAAUUGGUAUUUCUGCGAUAAUGAGAAACAAUUCAGCUUAGGUUUUAGGAGCUUGGCAAUUGUAUAUGGGUUUCGUAGGAUCUCUGUAUUUCUAUGAUGCUGUGAUUUGAUUGUGCCCGGCAUGCUUGGGCUAUUCCAUGUAUUUCCUUGGAGUCAUUGGCUUCAAAUGCCGAUGGGUUUUUAAUGAGUCCUAUCUAGUGCCAUCUUUUGCUGAGAAAGAAGGAAACUUGUAUGCCAAAUGGGGUUUUCCUAAUAGAGUGCCCUUAAGAAAUAGUUAUUAAAACAUUUAUUUUCAUUAAUCAUGAUAACAUCUUACAUGGUGAGUAAAAUUGUAUAAUAAUGGGAGCAGUUAAAAUUGUUUAACCGCACUUCCAAUGCCUUGAGGAAUUUCUUGGGCAAAAAUGAGUUUAUUGAUUGCAAAAGGAGAAGGCAAUUGCUUUAUUCCAUAGCCACACCACAAGGAAGGAAAUAUGGGACAAUGCCGCACUAAUAUCCUAAAAAUUGUUUUUAAUCAAGUGGAUAGCAUUUCCAAGGUCUCAAAUGGGCGGCAUCUUGGUUGUGAAAGCCCAAGACCUGCCAUUGCACCAGGAAAUGGCUCAAAGUUUUGUAACAUUAGGCCAUCGCAGUCAAGUGAUGGAAGGGAUUGAAAACCAUGUUGUUAGCCUAGAAUUUGGUAAUUUGGGGAGGACAAAGAUUUUGGCCUUUCUUAAGUUAUUUUCUUAAAAUGACUUGAUAUAUGAUAAAGUGAUAGCUCUAUAAAUGUGGGAUACAUACAGUCAAAGUAGAAGUCUAUCCCAUUGUAUCAUAUUUUCAUGGUAUUCUUAUCAUCUCCAAGUUUGACCUGUGCCCAUGGUUCUAGCCCUCUUGAUAAGAUAAAAGGCUAUUAGUACCUUAGGAAGUAUGUUUCAUUCUUGCCAUAUGUAAGUUUCAAAACCCUAAAAUCAAGUCUCCAAGGAUCUCAGCCUCUGUAUGUUACUAUAGAUAAUGAUUUCUUUCAAAGUCGAUCAACUUUCUUGGAAUGGUCACUGAAACUUAUGAUGUUUUUGCUUUUAGACUAUGUUUGGUUUGGAGGAUGGAUAGGAAGGAAAGAAUGGAAUGAAAGUAUUGAGAGGAAACCUUUAUUUUCAUUGUUUGGUUGGAGAGAAAGGUUGGGAAGGAAGGACAACUCUCCUUUCAUUCCUCCAUGGGGCAGGCAAAAAACAAAACUUCCAAAUUGGAAAGAUUGUAGAGGAGAAGCUACUAAAUAGUUUACGUUUUUAUCCCUGUGAUUUAUGAAUCUAAUUUUUUUUUAAUGGUUAAUUUGUGAAUUUGUAAAAAUUAGAGAUUCCAUCCUUUGCUUUCCUUGUUAUCAAACAACACAAAGGAAAUACUAUCAUCCUUCCUUCCUUACUCCCUCCUCUUUAUUAUUUCCCUUCCUCUUUAAUUGCUUUCUUUCUAACCAAACAUAGUGCAAGUAGUGAUGAGAUUGGGAGUCAGAUGAAGGGAUUCGAUAGAAUGUGACUGGGUGGUUUGAUGUGAUGAGCUUUGCUAAUGAUCCCCUCUCUCUGCAACCACCAAAAAGGUGGUAAUCUAGGAGACUUGUUGAAUUGUUUUCUUGUUAUUUUUUGAUUUUGAUGCUGUCAUUGUUAUAUUUUUGAUGUUCACCCAGAGUGCAUGUGACGAGCAUUUCUGUUUUACUUCAAGUCGAAGUCAUCCUUCAUACCUUGCAUCUUCCUGUUUGCCUUGUCAUAUAUUCAUAUUGAUGUUGUCAUUGUUAUAGUUUAUUUUUUGAUGUACACCGGGACUGCAUAUGACAAGCAUUUCUGUUUUAGUCUAAGUCAUCCUUCAUACCUGACAUCCUCCUGAUUGCCUUGUCAUCUGCUUUCUUCUGCAUCAUUACCAUACAUAACUUGUGCUUUGUUGCUGACCACUUUGGUGUUCUAAAUCUAGGUUGCACGCUCAGGCUCUUACGCUGGCUGCAUUAGCUGGUGCAGCUGUGGUUGAGUACUAUGAUCACAAAACUGGAACCAAGGCUGAA